rnacentral:misc_RNA from 1 species
CAUGCAACUGCAUGUAUACGCGUAACAGACGAAUUCUAGCGUUGGCACGUGUGCUUCGAUCGUGGAUCUGAAUGUUUUGAACAAUAAGCAAGAGCGUCAGCAUUAAGGAUAUUGUGAGUUUCGCUCUCACAUGCAAGUGGUUGAACAAGAUAAUCAAUGACAAUGUGCUUUGGCGAAAGAAGUUUUAUCAGAGAUGGCCUUUUUUAAGAGAUGAAUAUGAUGAACUACUGUGCAAGGAAAAUAUUGAUUUUCUAGAACAAGUAAAAGCAGGUAUAAAAUCUAAGAAAGAAUUAUGGCAUUACAUUUUGCUGAUGCCCAAAAAGCGCUAUUACAAAGAUGAUUCAUUUGAUGUUGGCUUAAAGAAUUUGCAUUCACUGUUUGAUCCAGAUAAAGGCGCGCAUUUUAUGAAUUAUUAUUUCUUUGUAAAUGAGCUAAAGUUGCUUGCGCAACUUUCAAUGAAAUAUGAUAUGAAACAUGAGAAGAAGCAGCCACUAUUUUGGCACAAUGCCAUCAAUCCCAAAAAUAUGUGUCUUACAUGAAUGUGAGAAGGUCAUUGGAUAAUAUUGCGCAGCAGGUAUUGGAGUACCUUAAAAACAAAUAUCCUGCGCAUCCAAUAUUUUCAAUAUCAGCCGAGCAGAUUCUCUUUUGGAAAUACAAUAAUAUUGAUGACAAUCAUUGGAAUAGCACAGAAGGAAGACAAAUUUUAGAGAGUCUAUGUAAAGUUUUACAAAAUAAAUUAAAUUCUUAUGUGAAUUAUAAGAUAUGUAGGUGGCCUGAGGGGCGUAAGGAAAGUUUUAUUCCAGAAAUCUUCUUUAGAGAUUACAUUUUAAAAAAUACAUAUGGUACUGGACUACCUCUAGCAAUAAUAUUUCACUGUGUGGCGAGAAGACUUGGUGUGCGCUGCGAUUUAGUAUCUUUUCCAUUCCGUUUCUUAUGCUGGAGAUCGCAAUUUCGUACCACAAAUCUUAAAGAUGAAGAAUGUUUUUAUAUUGACGUCUUGCGCUGUGGAUCCUGGCUGAGUAGUAAUGACGGUUCUAUGAUUAUAAGUGCAUCAAAAAUGCAUCCUUUAGAAUUGAGAUUAUUGCGUAAUGAGUUUGAGAAUGAGAAGAUAUUUCGUUUAGAGAUGCCUCUAAUGAGUAAGUAUUGGAAUACUAAAGGAAAAAAAACCAAAAGAACAAACAAGAAUGAAUGUACAAUUGUAAUGCAACGGCUGUCUCUGGAAUUAAUUCAUCUAAUCGAACAAAUAGAAACACAUUUAAUGACCUAGAUCGCAUUUAUGUACAGUAUCAGACGAAUUUAUCUAAUUUCAUAGUAGUAAACAUUUGUAAUCAAAUGUAAAUGUGUGUAUAACAUACACACACACACACGCGCGCGCGUGCGCGUGUGUAUAACAUACACACACACACACGCGCGCGCGCGCGCGUGCGCGCGUGAAUUUAUAAGUUCUGUUAUGUAUAAAUGGAAUAAAACGUAAAUAAAUAAUGUGCACAUUGAUGUAUAAUAUACAUGUAUAAUAGACAUCAAUGUGCACAUUACUCUGUAUUAUCGAUCCUUCGUCGACAUAGCACGGAACGAAACUAAAAAUUGUGCACAUGGCUACGUAGUUCCAAUGUCCACAUUUUAGGUCCACAAGUGGCGUAUCGCUUUGACGGAUCACGUAAAACGGCCGUGGCGUCUCUCAGGCUUCUCUCUGGUUUUGAUUGGUUAUAUUGGGUGCAUCCAGUACCGCAAUCGCUCAGUGAGCGCUCAAUAGCCGCUAACUACGCUCUCUAGAUUUGUGUACUGUAUGCAAGCGCUCCUUAAGUCGCUCAUCGUGAGCGGUCGCCAUAUUUGAGAGCGUAAUUUUAUGUCGCUCACUAUCGCUCACUCGGCUCACUGCUUAUUAUUCCCGCUUCGCCUUGUCAAUAAAAGAAAAAAAUGGCUUUCAUAGAAAGUCAAUAUCUUAUUGAGGGUGUUAUCUACAAUAUAGUAGAGACAGCUGAUAUACAUGAAAAGUUACGAAAGAAAAAAAAUGGCUUUCAUAGAAAGUCAAUAUCUUAUUGAAGGUGUUAUCUACAAUAUAGUAGAGACAGCUGAUAUACAUGAAAAGUUAC